rnacentral:sRNA from 1 species
AGCUCGGGUCCCUUCUGCGCUGCCGCAGGGAGGCCGCCCGGGCCAGGCGAGCCGAACCAAUGCUGGACCUGGAGGUAGUGCCCGAACGCUCUCUGGGGAACGAGCAAUGGGAAUUCACGCUGGGAAUGCCUCUGGCUCAGGCAGUAGCCAUUCUUCAGAAGCACUGUCGCAUCAUCAAAAACGUCCAGGUUCUCUACAGUGAACAGUCUCCUCUAAGCCAUGACCUCAUUCUUAACCUGACUCAGGACGGGAUCAAACUAAUGUUUGAUGCUUUCAAUCAGAGACUUAAGGUGAUUGAAGUAUGUGAUUUGACUAAAGUAAAGUUAAAAUAUUGUGGCGUGCAUUUUAAUUCUCAGGCCAUAGCUCCUACCAUUGAACAGAUUGACCAGUCUUUUGGCGCAACCCAUCCUGGAGUGUACAACUCCGCUGAGCAGCUCUUCCAUCUCAACUUCAGAGGACUGUCUUUCUCUUUCCAGUUAGACUCAUGGACUGAGGCUCCAAAGUAUGAGCCCAAUUUUGCCCAUGGCCUGGCUUCUCUCCAGAUACCCCAUGGAGCAACUGUAAAACGAAUGUACAUCUACAGUGGCAACAGCCUGCAGGAUACCAAGGCUCCCAUGAUGCCUCUGAGCUGUUUCCUGGGCAAUGUCUAUGCUGAGAGUGUAGAUGUUCUUCGAGAUGGAACUGGACCUGCAGGUUUACGACUUCGCCUACUUGCUGCAGUUCUGGAGGCUGGGAAGUCCAAGAUCAAGGCACUGGCAGAUUCAGUAUCUGGAUGCGCCUGCAGUCUAGUUCAUAGAAGAGACUUCUCCCCAUAUCCUCAUAUGGUGCAAGGGGCUAGUUAACUCCCUGGAGUCUGUUUUUUAACGGCACUGAUCUCAAUCCUGAGGUCUCUGCUUCCAUAAUGU